rnacentral:rRNA from 1 species
CCUACGGGUGGCAGCAGUGAGGAAUAUUGGGCAAUGGGCGCGAGCCUGAACCAGCCAAGUCGCGGGAGGGAAGACGGUCCUAUGGAGUGUAAACCUCUUUUGUCGGGGAGCAAAAGACGCCACGCGUGGCGUUCCGAGAGUACCCGAAGAAAAAGCAUCGGCUAACUCCGUGCCAGCAGCCGCGGUAAUACGGAGGAUGCGAGCGUUCUCCGGAUGUAUGGGGUUGAAAGGGUGCGCAGGCGGAAGAUCAAGUCAGCGGUAAAAUUGAGAGGCUCAACCUCUUCGAGCCGUGGAAACUGGUUUUCUUGAGUGCGUGAGAAGUAUGCGGCCUGCGUGGUGUCGC